CUACGGGUCGCUGCAGUAAGGAAUAUUGCGCAAUGGAGGCAACUCUGACGCAGCCAUGCCGCGUGCAGGAAGAAGGCCUUAUGGGUCGUAAACUGCUUUUAUUUAGGAAUAAACCCCCGAACGUGUUCGGGGCUGAAGGUACUAAACGAAUAAGCACCGGCUAACUCCGUGCCAGUAGCCGCGGUAAUACGGAGGGUGCAAGCGUUAUCCGGAUUUAUUGGGUUUAAAGGGUGCGCAGGCGGGCUAUUAAGUCAGUGGUGAAAUCCCGGGGCUCAACUCCGGAACUGCCAUUGAUACUGAUAGUCUUGAGUGUGGUUGAAGUGGGCGGAAUGUAGCAUGUAGCGGUGAAAUGCAUAGAUAUGCUACAGAACACCAAUCGCGAAGGCAGCUCACUAAGCCAAAACUGACGCUCAUGCACGAAAGCGUGGGGAUCAAACAGGAUUAGAUACCCUUGUAGUC
rnacentral:rRNA from 1 species